ensembl:lncRNA
GAAAAAUCAACCGAGAGCGUGAGCGAAGGUUACCGAAGAAAAAACAGAUGAUGGUUCCAAUGCCGGAGAGCUUGUCGAACGGAAGGGCCACAGAAGUUCCGUGGUGUGAAGAUCUCCCACAACAUGUCUGCAAUACGGAGGUUCUCACAGACCAGCAGCUCUGCAAUGAGGAGAGCAUCUCCAGUUUGGACCAGGAGGAAACGGUUCCUCUGCCGAUUAAAGAGGAACACGAGGAACACUGCUUCACUGAAAAUGAAGAGCAGCUUGUACUGAAGCAGGAAACUGAAACCUUCAUGGUGCCUUGCACUAAUGAGGAAAGUGAUGAUAAUGGACCCAAAACAAGCACUGACCAGUUCAUGUGUCACAGCUCUCCUGGAUCUAAGAAUCAUUACCAGGAAGCAGACAACCAUGUGGACUCCAGCACAAAGCUGAAGCCAAAGAAGAGACAACACGGAAACAAAG